GAUGGAUGCGACGAACCAGUAAUAGUUGACCUGGGAAUCAAGGUUGAAGCCGAAAAUCGCCGGACGGACGAUGCCGCCGAUGCCGUUCUCGCCGCCGGUCACAUCGGUCCAGCGAAACGACACCGUGUAGAGCAUCGCAGCUAGUGCCAGCGUCAGCAGCGAAAAGUAGACCCCUCGCCGCCGCAGGAUGAGAAAACCGAACGGCACUGCGACGAGCACAAUGACGAGGAUGGCGCCGAUCGCGGGACCGAAAAA
rnacentral:misc_RNA from 1 species